GACAGGAGGGUGCUAGCGUUGUUCGGAAUUACUGGGCGUAAAGGGCGCGUAGGCGGCCCGUUUAGUCGGGUGUGAAAUCCCGGGGCUCAACCCCGGAACUGCAUUCGAUACUGGCGGGCUUGAGACCGGAAGAGGUGGGUGGAAUACCCAGUGUAGAGGUGAAAUUCGUAGAUAUUGGGUGGAACACCGGUGGCGAAGGCGGCUCACUGGUCCGGUUCUGACGCUGAGGCGCGAAAGCGUGGGGAGCAAACAGG
rnacentral:rRNA from 1 species